rnacentral:rRNA from 1 species
UACGAAGGGUGCAAGCGUUACUCGGAAUUACUGGGCGUAAAGCGUGCGUAGGUGGUUUGUUAAGUCUGAUGUGAAAGCCCCGGGCUUAACCUGGGAAUGGCAUUGGAAACUGGCGGGCUUGAGUGCGGCAGAGGGGGGUGGAAUUCCGCGUGUAGCAGUGAAAUGCGUAGAGAUGCGGAGGAACACCGAUGGCGAAGGCAGCCCCCUGGGACGUGACUGACGCUGAGACGCGAAAGCGUGGGGAGCAAACAGG